GUGAGGAAUUUUCCGCAAUGGGCGAAAGCCUGACGGAGCAAUGCCGCGUGAAGGAUGAAGGCCUAUGGGUUGUAAACUUCUUUUCUCAGAAAAGAAUUAUGACGGUAUCUGAGGAAUAAGCAUCGGCUAACUUCGUGCCAGCAGCCGCGGUAAGACGAGGGAUCCUAGCGUUGCUCGGAAUCAUUGGGCGUAAAGAGGGCGUAGGUGGCUUGGUAAGUCAGGUGUGAAAGCCCAGGGCUCAACCCUGGAAGUGCAUUUGAUACUGCUGAGCUUGAGUGUCGGAGAGGUUACCGGAAUACCUGGUGUAGUGGUGAAAUACGUAGAUAUCAGGUGGAACACCGGAGGCGAAGGCGGGUAACUGGACGAACACUGACACUGAGGCCCGAAAGCGUGGGGAUCAAACAGGAUUAGAUACCCGGGUAGUCC
rnacentral:rRNA from 1 species